CCUACGGGAUGCAGCAGUGGGGAAUAUUGCACAAUGGGCGCAAGCCUGAUGCAGCCAUGCCGCGUGUAUGAAGAGGGCCUUAGGGUUGUAAGGUACUUUCAGUUGGGAGGAAGGCGUUGAUGCUAAUAUCAUCAGCGAUUGACGUUACCAACAGAAGAAGCACCGGCUAACUCCGUGCCAGCAGCCGCGGUAAUACGGAGGGUGCAAGCGUUAAUCGGAACUACUGGGCGUAAAGCGCACGCAGGCGGUUGAUUAAGUUAGAUGUGAAAUCCCCGGGCUUAACCUGGGAAUGGCAUCUAAGACUGGUCAGCUAGAGUCUUGUAGAGGGGGGUAGAAUUCCAUGUGUAGCGGUGAAAUGCGUAGAGAUGUGGAGGAAUACCGGUGGCGAAGGCAGCCCCCUGGAUAAAGACUGACGCUCAGGUGCGAAAGCGUGGGGAGCAAACAGGAUUAGAUACCCCCGUAGUC
rnacentral:rRNA from 1 species